GCAGAAGAAAAAUUAUUAAAUUUCCUUACUGCCUACAGCCCAUUGACAAGUCCUUGAAACAGGUAGAAUGACAUUCCUCUAGGGACUCAACUGCCUCAAAGUUAAUACUUUGUGAAGGGCAAAAGACGAUCCUAGCCCGAUCCCCCACUCUCCCCCCACCCUUCCAGGAUCCUGUAAGUCUACUUUAACCUAUAAAAAUUCCUUUAGAAAUUUCCUUUAUCUCUAAUCCCCCCCAAGAAAUGUGUUGGCAAUCAUCCCCCAAGCAUAUGGCCUACUGAUAUACAUCUUAAGGGUCUCAUGACUAAAGUUUUAUUAGACAGUAAUUAAAUGACCUUUUCCUAACAAUAGCUAGCCCCCUCAAGGUCCUGGAAACCUUGCUUCCAAAUUCCUUAGAGACUUACGCUAUCCCUAACCCCCUACCAACUUGAAAGUAUAUAAUGGGUCACUCCUCACAACCCCAGUACAGCUCUUUCUGCCCACAGGUCCUGUCCCUGAACCACCUUUUUGCACCAAAGAUGUCUCAAGAAUUCUUUCUUGGCUGUCGGCUUCAAACCCUAACGAACCCUAACGUUCUUUCCUUCAUCAGGCAUGAUCCUUUCCAAGUCCUCGAUGGCGAUGUCGACAUUUAUCCCAGUAAUUCAUCUGGAAAGUAUUCUGAUGGGUGGUAUAUGACAGUGGUUCCACAUUUUAAUGAGAAGCUCAACGUAAGCCUUAAAAGUUUGCAUGUUAAGGGAUGCCUGGGUGGCUCAAUUGGUUAAGUGUCUGACCUUUGAUUUUUGGCUCAGUUCAUGAUCUCAGGGUCCUGGGAUCGAGCCCCUGUCAGGUUCCACACUGGGCGUGGAGCCUGCUUGAGAUUCUCUCUCUUACCGAUUCCCUCUGCCCCUCCCCCACGCUCUAAAAAAAUCUGCAUUUUAGGAGUGCUCCAAGGAAUUCUGAUGGCUGCGGCCACACUCUGAAAAGCACUGCUACAGAGUGAGAGGCUAACUUUUUUGGUAAUGGUUGUGAAUUGCCCCAGCUUAUUUAUUGAAAAACCCUUCCUUACCAAUUGUUGUGAAGUACUAAAUAAUAAAUAACAUUCCAGUAUCCA
rnacentral:lncRNA from 1 species